AUGAGCCUUUUCUGUCCUGGGCUACCCGCCGCCUCCGGCGCCCGGAGGGCCCGCGCCACAGGUGGCAUUCGGGGCGGGGACUGCCCGCCGGCUGCGGGGUGGCGGAGGCGCGGCGCUUGCCUGGCCCUUCCCCAGGGGCCUCCGCGCGCCGGCGGCCCCCAGCGCGCCAGGCCUCCGGGGCGCCCAGUGCGCAGGCGCCGGCGGGGGGCUCUGGGUGUGUGCCGGGCUGGAGCGCGGUGGGGCGCGUGGCGGCGGCGGUGGCGGCGGCUCCGCGGAUUGUCGGCUGGCCGUGCGGAUGGACGGAUGGGCCACAAGCAUGUCGCCCUUCGCCUGCUGAACUCAGAGCGCUCGAGGAUGUCGGCGCUGAGGAAGGUGCGAGCCGCUGGGGCCGCGGGCGGGGCGCGGGCAGGGACCCCGAGCUGCAGGGGUGACCGGUUGUGGGCUGCGCGCGGCGGCCUGGUGCCUCGCCGGCGGUGCUUCCCGGACCCUGCCCUCCCGGGGCGUGGGUGCGGCGCGGACUGUUCCGGGCAGACGGGCGGGCUGGAGGAGCUGCGGGGCCUGAGGAGGGGGCGGCGUCCGGCUCCCGCGGGGCAGCCGCGAGGGCCCAGGGGCCCAGGCGGAAGCGGCUCGUGUUUAGGGCAGCGCCAGCGGCGGACAGACGGUCCCUGGACAGCUCGAGAGCCUCCGUCCACGUCGCCCGAGGCAGCUAGUGCCGGGUCUGUCCUCCGGAUGCGGGGCACCGCCCCUGGGGGGACGCGCGCUACCUUCGUGUCGCCCUGGCACCGGCUGCGCAGGCGGCGCUGGGACCGUGGGGCUGCGGGCGAGCUGCACUUGCUGCAGGCUACCGCCGCCUCGAGCGCCAGGGGACCCGCGCCACAGGUGGCAUCCGGGGCGGGGCCUGCGCGCCGGCAGGGGCGGGGGAGCGGUGGGGCGGAAGGACCCCCGCACGACAGGGCGCGGCGCUGCCUGGGCUCCCCGGUGCGGGUGUGGCCCCUCCCCAGGUGCCUCCGCACUCAGGCCGGCCCCCAGCGUGCGGGGCCUCCGGGUCGACCAGUGCGCAGGCGCCGGCGGGGGGCUCCCAGCGUGCACUGCGCUCGAGCGCGGUCCCCUGGACUGAAGGCCAGCCCUGCGGAUGGACGGGCCGUGUGGCCUGUCGCCUUGCGCCUGCUGAACUCCGAGCGCCCGAGGAUGUCUGCGCUGAGGAAGGUGCGGGCCGCGGGCGGGGCGCGUGCAGGGACCCCGAGCUGCAGGGGUGACCGUUCGUGGGCUGCGCGCGGCGGCCUGGUGCCUCGCCGGCGGUGCUUCCCGGACCCUGCCCUCCCGGGGCGUGGGUGCGGCGCGGACUGUUCCGGGCAGACGGGCGGGCUGGAGGAGCUGCGGGGCCUCGCCCCUGGGGGGACGCGCGCUACCUUCGCUUCGCCCUGGCACCGGCUGCGCAGAGGCGCUGGGACCUUGUUGCGGCCAGCGAGCAGCACGCGCCCCAGGUGGCAUUCGGGGCGGGGACUGCCCGCCGGCUGCGGGGUGGCGGAGGCGCGGCGCUUGCCUGGGCUCCCCGCGCUUGCCUGGCCCUUCCCCAGGUGCCUCCGCGCGCCGGCGGCCCCCAGCGCGCCAGGCCUCCGGGGCGCCCAGUGCGCAGGCGCCAGCGGGGGGCGCCGAGCGUGUGCGGGGCUGGAGCGCGGUGGGGCGCGUGGCGGUGGCGGCGGUGGCGGCGGCGGCGGCGGCCCCGCGGAUUGUCGGCUGGCCGUGCGGAUGGACGGACGGGCCACAAGCAUGUCGCCCUACACCUGCUGA
rnacentral:lncRNA from 1 species